rnacentral:rRNA from 1 species
UUUGGCGGAGCCAUCCUUGGGAUACCACCCUUGUAGUACUGGGACUCUAACCAUAGGCCAUGAAUCUGGUCUUGGGACACUGUCAGGUGGGCAGUUUGACUGGGGCGGUCGCCUCCCAAAAGGUAACGGAGGCGCUCAAAGGUUCUCUCAGUACGGUCGGAAAUCGUACGUAGAGUGUAAAGGCAAAAGAGAGCUUGAUUGCAAGACAUACAGGUCGAGCAAGGAUGAAAAUCGGACUUAGUGAUCCGGUGGUUCGGCGUGGAAGGGCCAUCGCUCAACGGAUAAAAGCUACCC